rnacentral:rRNA from 1 species
GAUGAACGCUGGCGGCGUGCCUAAUACAUGCAAGUCGAGCGAACAGACGAGGAGCUUGCUCCUCUGACGUUAGCGGCGGACGGGUGAGUAACACGUGGAUAACCUACCUAUAAGACUGGGAUAACUUCGGGAAACCGGAGCUAAUACCGGAUAAUAUAUUGAACCGCAUGGUUCAAUAGUGAAAGACGGUUUUGCUGUCACUUAUAGAUGGAUCCGCGCCGCAUUAGCUAGUUGGUAAGGUAACGGCUUACCAAGGCAACGAUGCGUAGCCGACCUGAGAGGGUGAUCGGCCACACUGGAACUGAGACACGGUCCAGACUCCUACGGGAGGCAGCAGUAGGGAAUCUUCCGCAAUGGGCGAAAGCUUGACGGAGCAACGCCGCGUGAGUGAUGAAGGUCUUCGGAUCGUAAAACUCUGUUAUUAGGGAAGAACAAAUGUGUAAGUAACUAUGCACGUCUUGACGGUACCUAAUCAGAAAGCCACGGCUAACUUCGUG